UUCCUGAAUUCAGCCAUCCUCAGAAGACCAAGUAGCAAGUAUCCACAUAAAAGACCACCAUUGUGAAAACCCCAGAAUCUCAGGGUGAGGCUGAAGCACUCCCCUAGAUCACAGAGAGAUACAGAAGGACCACAGUAGAAAGGGUUUCCAGUCUUACCCUACAUAAAGAAGAAAAGGCUUGGGUCACGUAUUCCAACUGGUUUUCAGGAGGAACACAUGGAGUGACAAUGGAAAGAGAUACCCAGUUAGCCAAUCUGACUAGUCUAAUCAGCUUGGUUCAUCAAAAAAGCAGUAAUCCCAGUGGACCAAUGGGUCCUGGAUCCCCAGGAGGACCUGGAUAUCCCUAUAAUUUGAGUGAAAAUAUGAAAGAUAUAAAGUCUCCAUCAUAUCUGAUUCUUUUCAUUGAAGACAAACCAGUAAAUUAUAAGUAGUAAUAAAA